rnacentral:rRNA from 1 species
UACGGGGGGGGCAAGCGUUGUUCGGAAUUACUGGGCGUAAAGGGCUCGUAGGUGGCCAACUAAGUCAUACGUGAAAUCCCUCGGCUUAACCGGGGAACUGCGUCUGAUACUGGAUGGCUUGAGUUUGGGAGAGGGAUGCGGAAUUCCAGGUGUAGCGGUGAAAUGCGUAGAUAUCGAGAGGAACACCGGUGGCGAAGGCGGCCUUCUGGACAGUGACUGACGCUGAGACGCGAAAGCGUGGGGAGCAAACAGG